ensembl:lncRNA
GGUGGAUUAGCUUCAUUUAAUCUGUCUACAAUUACGCAUGUAUCAAAACAGCACACUGUACACUAUAAACAUAUACAAUUAUUUUUCAACAGAAAAUUUAAAAAAUUUGAGGAAUGGAAAAACACAUGGUAAAGAAUAUUGCAAAGGAACUAUAAAAACUUUCACAGGCGUUCAACUUUUGGGUAACUGAGCUACAUAAGCGCAAUAACCCCUGGUGUUUACACUGGUGGACUCCAUGCCCUCUCGGCCUCCACCGCCUGCUCUCCAGGUUACCGGUGACCUCUACCAGGUGACCCCUACCAGCCUCCGACCAGCUGAUCACUUUACUGGGAAAUGCCUGCUUCCCCUGGCUUGUGGCCCCUCACCCUUUCCUGGUCGUCCUCCUGCCCUCCGGAUCUCCCAUCCUCCUAGGGCUCCUCAGCCUGGCCCCACGCUUGGCACUGUCCCCACCCAGCAAAUCCUGACCGCUCCGCUCCACCUUCACACAGUGUUCCGAAUCCGGACCCCAUCCCGUCCUCCGCCACUCCUGGCCUGAACACAGCGGCCCGGGCCCCUGCUCCGAUCCCGGCCGCUGCACCCGCGCCGGGCUGAGGCCUACUCCGGGCGCCUGGGCCGCCCCGCGCCUCCCCCGAGUCCGCCCAGGAAGCUGCUCGCUGCCCCUAGCCAUCUCUCGCGACCUGUCCCCUCCGCUGUCCCCGAGACCUCCCUCUGGCAGACCCCUCAGCCCAGAACACCUCGUCGCCACCCCCGCGUCUUCUCCCCCGGUCGGCGGCGACCCCACCGUCUCAGGCCUGGGCUUCCGGCGGCCCCGGGUCGCGCGUGCGCACUGCGACCGGCGCGCUCUCGGCCCGGACGCGGCCUGGCGGAGCUGAUGGGGGUCCCGCUCCCGGCUGGGCCGCCUGGGCGGCACCUCAGGCCCGGACUCACCUGCAGGCGGCGGGCGGCGCGGAGGCCUGAUAGGAGACUCGCGUCCCGCCCCAGCUGCAGCGGCCCCUGCCGGAGACGCAGACCCCCACCCGGCUCCAGUCCCAAGGCUCUAGCUCCUCUGCCCUGUCCUGUUCACUGCUGGACGAUUGUUUCUUUUUUCUUUUCUUUUUUUUAAACUCUUUUUUAGAGAACGACGGGUUGCGGGCGGGCGUGUUUGCUUGCUUCCUCUUUCUGACCUCCCAAGGUUCACUCCUGCCCAGAUCACCAGGUAGACAUCGAGUUCCAGGGAUGUGCUUGUUGUGCCAGGAAGGUCUGUUGUGUGUGUAGUGUUCCAUCAUGCUUGCCUAACUCCAUAUCUGAAGGUCUGUUUUAUCCCUCUCCUCUGCUUUUGUAUUUCUGCUUGCCAACUUCCCUCUGACAUCUCCUAUAAAAGGACCUCAGGCUCUGAGCCUCUUGCCUCUCUAAACUUGGAGCUUGGAGAGUGCCAUCUGGCCAGACUAAUAAAGGUCUGUUUUACAGCUUGUCCGGUGUGUUCCCUCCCGGGUGAUCUUCGCUGUAGUUAGCUCCUCGGAGCGUUUGGUGAGGCCCACGGUCUUACACAGCCCACUACAUACACC